UUAUGAAAAAGGCAAACCAAUUGAAAAAUUGGGACGCAAAGCCACGGGUCUAAGGUCCUAACAGACUAUGAUCGCCGAGUUGCCAUU
rnacentral:ncRNA from 1 species